rnacentral:rRNA from 1 species
UACGUAGGGUGCAAGCGUUAAUCGGAAUUACUGGGCGUAAAGCGUGCGCAGGCGGUUAUGUAAGACAGGUGUGAAAUCCCCGGGUUACCUGGGAACUGCAUUUGUGACUGCAUAGCUAGAGUACGGUAGAGGGGGAUGGAAUUCCGCGUGUAGCAGUGAAAUGCGUAGAUAUGCGGAGGAACACCGAUGGCGAAGGCAGCCCCCUGGGCCAAUACUGACGCUCAUGCACGAAAGCGUGGGGAGCAAACGGG